rnacentral:rRNA from 1 species
UACGUAGGGUGCAAGCGUUGUCCGGAAUUAUUGGGCGUAAAGAGCUCGUAGGCGGCUUGUCACGUCUGCUGUGAAAACUCGGGGCUCAACCCCGAGCCUGCAGUGGAUACGGGCUAGCUAGAGUGCGGUAGGGGAGACUGGAAUUCCUGGUGUAGCGGUGAAAUGCGCAGAUAUCAGGAGGAACACCGGUGGCGAAGGCGGGUCUCUGGGCAGUAACUGACGCUGAGGAGCGAAAGCGUGGGGAGCGAACAGG